rnacentral:rRNA from 1 species
AUUGAACGCUGGCGGCAGGCCUAACACAUGCAAGUCGAGCGGUAACAGAUCUAGCUUGCUAGAUGCUGACGAGCGGCGGACGGGUGAGUAAUGCAUAGGAAUCUGCCCGAUAGUGGGGGAUAACCUGGGGAAACCCAGGCUAAUACCGCAUACGUCCUACGGGAGAAAGGGGGCUCCGGCUCCCGCUAUGGGAUGAGCCUAUGUCGGAUUAGCUAGUUGGUGAGGUAACGGCUCACCAAGGCGACGAUCCGUAGCUGGUCUGAGAGGAUGAUCAGCCACAUCGGGACUGAGACACGGCCCGAACUCCUACGGGUGGCUG